AGAGCGAACGCUGGCGGCAGGCUUAACACAUGCAAGUCGAACGCUCGUAGCAAUACGGGAGUGGCAGACGGGUGAGUAACGCGUGGGAACAUACCCUCCGGUUCGGAAUAGCUCAGGGAAACUUGGAUUAAUACCGGAUACGGCUGAGAGGCGAAAGAUUUAUCGCCGGAGGAUUGGCCAGCGUUCGAUUAGCUUGUUGGUGAGGUAACGGCUCACCAAGGCGAUGAUCGAUAGCUGGUCUGAGAGGAUGAUCAGCCACAUUGGGACUGAGACACGGCCCAGACUCCUACGGGAGGCGGCAGUGGGGAAUAUUGGACAAUGGGCGAAAGCCUGAUCCAGCCAUGCCGCGUGAGUGAUGAAGGCCUUAGGGUUGUAAAGCUCUUUCAGUAGGGAAGAUAAUGACGGUACCUACAGAAGAAGCCCGGCUAACUUCGUGCCAGCAGCCGC
rnacentral:rRNA from 1 species